UACAGAGGGUGCAAGCGUUAAUCGGAAUCACUGGGCGUAAAGCGUGCGUAGGUGGUCAUGCAAGUCGGAUGUGAAAUCCCCGGGCUUAACCUGGGAACUGCAUUCGAUACUACAUGGCUAGAGUAUGGUAGAGGGAAGUGGAAUUUCCGGUGUAGCGGUGAAAUGCGUAGAUAUCGGAAGGAACACCAAUGGCGAAGGCAGCUUCCUGGACCAAUACUGACACUGAGGCACGAAAGCGUGGGUAGCAAACAGG
rnacentral:rRNA from 1 species